GUGCCAGCAGCCGCGGUAAUACCGGCAGCCCAAGUGAUGGCCGAUCUUAUUGGGCCUAAAGCGUCCGUAGCUGGCCAUGCAAGUCCAUCGGGAAAUCCACCUGCCCAACAGGUGGGCGCCCGGUAGAAACUGCGUGGCUUGGGACCGGAAGGCGCGACGGGUACGUCCGGGGUAGGAGUGAAAUCCCGUAAACCUUGACGGACCGCCGGUGGCCAAAGCACGUCGCGAGAGCGGAUUCCGACAGUGAGGGACGAAAGCCAGGGUCUCGAACCGGAUUAGAAACCCCAGUAGUCC
rnacentral:rRNA from 1 species